UCAUUAAUGACAAAAUAAGAGGGAUAAAUUUUCUAAUAUUCGAAAAUAUAGGGCCAAUUGUAACAUAGCGGCAUACUUGUGCAUCUUUCACUUUUCCCCUAUUCGUCCGAUAAAGGGUUAAGCACGCGCCGCCAAAAUUUAAAUCUCCCGGGAACAUGGGCCGAACCGGCGACGGCAGAUAUCCACCGGCGGAGAAGCCUUCUCGGUCUUCCGAUUCAAAGAGAAGUAGAACUAGUCAACACGACGUUGGUCAACACCGCAGCAAAAAGAAGCAAAGAGUAACAAUACGUCAAACUGAGACUGAAACUGAAACCCUAACCCUGAAUCAUACUUCCACUUCUUAUACCCAUACAUAUGCAACUUCCAACACUUAUUCGUAUAAUAGGCGCAAAGAAAAACGGCAUAAAGGAAAAUCAAAGAGGACGAGUGCAGAGGAUAAGCGCAAGUGGGUUUAUUCUACUCACAAUGUUUCCCCAUAUCAAGAUAGGGUUGUUUUUAUGUCGUAUAAUAUACUAGGGGUAAAAAAUGCAGCUGAUCAUGAGGAUCUGUACCACAAUGUUGCUCCAAAAUAUUUGGAUUGGGACUACCGCAAGCGGCUUAUUCGCAAGGAAAUUAGAGAAUAUAAUCCGGGUAUAAUGUGUUUCCAGGAGGUUGAUUGUUAUGAUGAUUUAGAUUAUCUCCUCAAGAAAGAGGGCUUCAAAGGAGUUUAUCAGGCUCGUACAGGUGAUGCAUGUGAUGGUUGUGCUAUAUUUUGGAACAGAGAACUAUUUGACCUUCUGCACGAGGAGAGCAUAGAAUUCCAGAAGUUUGAUCUACGCAAUAAUGUUUGCCAACUUUGUGUUUUCAAGAUGAACGUGAAAAACUCAAGUAAGGAUAUGGGUGCUUCAAAUUCGGAGAGUAUAUCAUCACGAAGCUUUGUGGUUGGCAAUAUUCAUGUACUCUUCAACCCUAACCGCGGAGACAUUAAGUUGGGGCAGGUUAGACUAUUUCUUGAGAGUGCCCAAAGGCUAUCACUAGAGUGGGGUGAUAUACCAGUUGUGCUAGCUGGAGAUCUUAAUAGUAUGCCCCAGAGUGCAAUGUAUCAGUUUUUGACUUCAAGUAAGUUGGACAUCCAAAUGCAUGAACGGAAGCAAAUUUCUGGCCAAAUCUAUCCAUCACAAAAUAGAAGCUUCAAGUCAAGCUUAAUUUAUAGAUGGAGUGAUGAGGAGCUAAGGCUUGCUACCGGGACAGGAGCUAGUCACCUGAUACAUCAAUUACAGCUGAGCAGUGCCUAUGCUGGAGUUCCUGGAAGCUCUGGAACCAGGGACAACUCUGGAGAACCCUUGGUGACAUCAUAUCACUCCAAGUUUAUGGGGACUGUUGACUAUAUAUGGCACACAACAGAGUUUGUUCCAGUAAGAGUUCUUGAUACCUUACCUAUUGAUAUUUUAAGGAGAACAGGAGGGCUUCCUAGUAAGAAAUGGGGAAGUGAUCAUCUUGCUCUAGUGUGUGAACUGGCUUUUACUGAUGGAGGCAGUGAGACUUGACCAUUCCUUCCCGUCCAACUUCUUCUUCGUAGUAGCUUGAAAUACCAUGCGGCAGGGCGACCUUGAUGAAGUUAUGCUGCAGUGGUGCUUGCACUUUGAAAAGCAGCUCCAUGUAUCCACUCAGCAUCCAGACACUGCAACGAUAAGCUUUUGAGUUCAGGUGCAUAUAAGAUCCUAGUGCAAACAAAGGAACUGAGGACAAGGAGGAACAUGGGGUUGCAAGAGCAUCAAUCAUUGAUCCUACGGUUAGUAAGAAAAUUGCUGCAAUAUGCAUCAGGCUCAUUAACAAAAAAUUCCCUCAAAUAACUGUAUCGGCGCGGCACGGUCCACAAAAUGUUGAUUUGUUAACAAAAAUAUCCGGAGUGUUGAUGGCUGGUGGGCGAAGUUGUGGAUAGUAUGUGAAUACCACUGCAAAUGUCGUCAAAGGACAGUGUCAGGUGAAACAAUCCACAACUUCGUAUUUGAUGCCAGACCAUGAGAAAAGUGUUGGUGAUCAAUUCCCUAAGAACAAGAACAGUGGGAAGUAACGGAUGCUGGUGGUCAAACCAUUUGAGACUCGAGUAUUCAUAUUAGUGUUAAUAUUUGUGUUUUCUAUUAUUAUAGUGAUAUGGACAGCACAGUUUCACCCGAAGCAAACGGGUUUUGUUUCCGACAAAGAAUGGAUUAUUCAUUGUAACCAGUGAAUAAGUAAAUGCAACCUUAAAAAGAGAGAGAUAUGAACGUUUAUGUUGCGUUCAAAUAUCAAGUCAA